ensembl:miRNA
UAUUAAGUUGGUGCAAAAGUAAUUGCGGUUUUUGCUAUUACUUUCAAUGGCAAAAACUGCAAUUACAUUUGCACCAGCUCAAUA